UACAGAGGGUGCAAGCGUUAAUCGGAUUUACUGGGCGUAAAGGGCGCGUAGGCGGUGAAUUGGGUGUGGUGUGAAAGCCCCGGGCUUAACCUGGGAAGUGCAUCGCAAACUAAUUGACUGGAGUAGAUGAGAGGGUGGCGGAAUUCCCGGUGUAGCGGUGAAAUGCGUAGAGAUCGGAAGGAACGUCAAUGGCGAAGGCAGCCACCUGGCAUCAUACUGACGCUGAGGCGCGAGAGCGUGGGGAGCGAACAGG
rnacentral:rRNA from 1 species